UUCCUACGGGACGCAGCAGUGAGGAAUAUUGGUCAAUGGCCGAGAGGCUGAACCAGCCAAGUCGCGUGAGGGAAGAAUGUCCUAUGGAUUGUAAACCUCUUUUGUCGGGGAGCAAAAGACGCCACGCGUGGCGUUCCGAGAGUACCCGAAGAAAAAGCAUCGGCUAACUCCGUGCCAGCAGCCGCGGUAAUACGGAGGAUGCGAGCGUUAUCCGGAUUUAUUGGGUUUAAAGGGUGCGCAGGCGGAAGAUCAAGUCAGCGGUAAAAUUGAGAGGCUCAACCUCUUCGAGCCGUUGAAACUGGUUU
rnacentral:rRNA from 1 species